GUCUAUCAUUCUUCCUUUUAAAUAAAUAUCACAUUGAGUAUGUGAAAGAAAGUUCACAAAACAAUUUAAGAUAGUUGAGAAGAAUGUAAGUACAUGGUGCAAUCAAGGAACUAAUUUAUGAGUUGGAAAAUAGGAAAAUGCCAUCCAAUUUGGGCGAAAGGAAGUAGCUUCGACCAAACCCCCUAGGUUCGACCAAACCCAUUAGUUCUUAAACCCUAUUUAAGUUCGUUAUUGCUUUCAAUCUUUUCAUUCCAAGUUUAUACCUUUAAGCAUUUAGUUUCAAGCUUCAUAUUGGAUCUACCUUUCAUUUCCAUUGAAGUAUUUCUUUUGGUUUCGGAUUCGUAGACAAAGAUUAUUAGGAGCAUACGUUUUCUAGGAUCACGUGACAAGGUUAUUGAUUGCGUGGGAAUCAUGGAGUGAGGAUCACUUAGAAAUAUAGCUUUUAUUAAGGUCGUAUUUCAGUUUAAAUUUUACCUUAAGUUGUUUAAAUUUUAUAUGGAUACAGAUUAUGUU